GCCCCCGGACGGCGGCCUCCACGCCUAGUCGGUGACUCAGAGGACGCGCGGUGCUGGGCGAACUCUCCACGGUGGCGCGGCUCCUCACACCUGCUCUCCGCCCACGGGCCCCGCGUACGCUUUCCAGUCAGGCCAGCGCCCCCGCCGCCCCUUCGGCUUUUCCGUACUCUCUCUCACUCCUCUGGUCGCUGCCUCCGCUCGCUCGCGCUGCGGCCUUCUCUUCCCCUGAGAGGUCUGGGGGCUGACUCACCGGCUCGCACGUUCUCAGGCAGGUGGCUAGCCGGCACCUGUAGUCCCCUUCCCUGUCCUUCCGGGCGCGCCUAAGCCUCGGGGACCCCGCAAGGCGAGUGCACACCCUCCUGCAGGUAUUGGUCAGCACGCCCCGCUUUCCCCCCCCCCCCCCUCGGAAUUCUUGCGGGACCUCUCCUAGCCGAUGCUGGCGUUUCCUGUACUUAACUUAUAUGCAGCCUUUUGGCUGUCGAGACUAUACGUAUUACAGAUGCAUCUUAGAGUAUUAAUAAUAACAUAUCUGCGGUCCCCACAAGAGCAGCUACAGAGCAAUUAAAAGUCAGAAAGAAUCCAAGAAAGUCUAAAUGGUUUCUAUUAAAAAUAGGAAUUUAUCUCCCUUACAUUUCUGUGAGUCUGAAUUAGUGAUUUCGUAUUUGGGAUCACGUUGUGGAUUAAAUGAUUCAUGCAAAGACAGAACAUGCAACGGUAGGUCUAUGCUUUUAUCUGGUAACUUCAUUUUUAAAGCUACAACUUGGAACAGACUGUAGUGCAGAAAUGCAUUAAGCAUACCAAAAUAACAGAGCCUGAUUAGGCCUUUGGAGUUACAACCACAAGUUGCUUAAAGUUAUGUGAGAAAACAUUGUUAUCCUUAAAUUGAACAGUGAAAACGAUCUUCUGUUCUAAACAAAGCCCACACUCUAUGUGGACCUCCAAAGCUUAAAACCUCUGUUGACUUGAACAACAGUAUCCCGAGCAUUUAAAAAGCCUAAUAAACCAUCUGUCCAUCUACUUUUACACAAAUUGGGAAACACAAAAAAAGUGAAUGCAGAAAGCUGAAAAUGAGAAUUCCAAAUGGCAAAUGGAUCUAGUAAAUCCUUUUUCACAGAAUAAAAUAUUGGGGAAAAGCCCAAAGCCUACUAUUAUUCAUCAAUCUGGAAAAAGCCAUAAUUUUAUACAUGAAUUGUAUACUUAAGAUCACCGGGAGUCUUUAUUAUUAUUUUGCUGAUUAAGAUCUGAAGUCCAGAGAAAAUGAGUUGCCUAGCCAAUAUGCCCAGAUUUCCCAAGACCUGUCUCACAUACUUGUCAGCAUAGGAUUUAGAGCUACAAGCAUAAAGUCACUUAAGGUCCAAAUUCGUUGACAUUGAGGCUCUGUCUCAGUAUCCGUGGUCUGUGAGUGUGAGCUUAGGUAAUGCUGUCAGAAGCCAUCUCACCCUAGUAUGUUCAAGGAUUCUUGUUAUGCAACUUGCAUCUCUCAGUCAGGGAUCAUCUGCAUGAUCUCAGUGACAUCUGGCCCCGGCUCUGGAACCUUGGUCCAACCAAGCACAUUCAUCCUCAGAGGGGCCAAAGGCUGUGCCUGAUUAAAAGAGUUAUGAAAUCUCUAUUGUCAAGAAAAUUACAACAUUAUUGGUGAGGUAAAAUAUGAGGCAUGAAAUGAUAAUUCAACACUAAUAAUCAAGGACUCAACAGUAAUUUCCAAAAUGUUAAGUGGGGAAAUGAUACACAUGAAUUAAGAAAAGACUUCUUAAAGACCACAACAUCAAAAAGGAGACCCAUCGUCUAGAGCGCUGUGUAUAGGACAGAAAGUAAAAUAAAAUGUUUGGACUAAAGCACUGUGAAGAAAACAGGCACACCAAGAAUGAGGGAAAGUUAGAUCAGGGAGGUAAAACACGAUAGCUGAGAAACAAGAGCAAGCCCGGUGGAGAUGCAGGAUUGAGCCAUUGGGAGAGGACCUAGAUUUCAACCUGAGACACAGGUUAGUAGGAAAUCGUUGUGGGUAGACUGGGCAGGAAAGAAAGGAGGGUGAGGAAUGAGGUGAAAAGAUCAGAAGGCCAUAAUCUUGUUAGGAAUACUGCACAUCGAUGCCACUUAGAAAGACUUGGGUUUGGUGAGCAUACAUAGAAAGCAACAGAAGGUAAGAAGUCCAAGGUGAUGUGGAGAUUGUGGCAAGAGUCGGUAAGAGCCACCUAGGCCCCAGGUCCUUGACAACACUCGUAGGAACAGCCUACAAACUGCUGGGUAAGGAAACAAGGCACCUUCCCAAGGAAAAUCCUCCACAUCAUAUUCUCAUUCCACAAACCUAACUUGAAACUCAAAUAGAAGAUAAAGAGCCCUUAACCGGGCCCUGCCCAUGGACUUUAUCCUGCCAUUCUUAUGAUCAGCUUAUUUUUAUUUUUAUUUUAGCCACGUUAAUGUAAAUGUUCUCUAUUGUGAGUUAUAUGUUACAGUAAAAAAUAAAUUUAAAAAUAAGUAAUAUAUAUAUA
rnacentral:lncRNA from 1 species